CGAUGACCGUUCCUCCUCCUGCCUGCAGGCCUGGCACUAGGAUUUCAGGUCAUCGUAAAGUAAAAGUGAUUUUCUUCACUCAGAGAAUAUCAGGAUAAUGGGAUUAUCUGUUUGUUCUCUGAAAUUUGCGGAAUCAAACACUA
ensembl:snoRNA small nucleolar RNA SNORA79